UGAGAGAGGACAAUGUCCCUCCAUUUUUUACCUUUGAUGUUCCUCUGAACAACUCUUCUAAAACAUGGUAGACUCUUCAUAUUAAAAACUGGGAAGAAAAAAAGGUAUCAACUGAGUACCAAUACAGACCUUUGGCUACCUGUUCUCCCUUGUUCUCAGCUUAUAACCAUCCUAUCUCCUUGUCCAAAAUACAUUUCCUUGAUGAUACUUUUCCCUCCACUUCUUGAAAAUAAGCCUAGUUACACCCACCAUUGCCCUUCACUCACCAUUCCAGAUUGUUCAGACUUCCAGUGUAUUGAAUGAUUCUGAACUAUGCAGCUUAAAUAAAAUAUGUUGGUAUUAAAAAGAUGGCUCUUAUCUUAGGGAACAACUUGGGAUCACUGAGAGAAAUAUAUAAUUUCCCAAACCAAAUCCAUCCAACACUCUUCCUCUUUUUCAAUUCUGGGUCCAGCUGAUUGUCCAUCUGCAAUAUUUGCCCAAGAUAUAUGUACUGAUGAUGCACUGACUCAGGUCAUAGUUCAAAUAAAGACAAUCUCUAUUUGGUUAUUCCUAUGUAUAUUACUAGCUCAUCCAGUUCUUGAAAUAAUACAAAAUAGUCCUGAAAGGAGCAUGCAAAAGACUUCAUCAUCUAUAAGAAAUCCCUCUUGUAUUUCAAUCCUCCAUGACUGUAGCAAGCAUCUUUGGUGAGCAAACAUUCUCUUUUUAUGCAUUGUUCAAUACCAAUAAUUAGAGGAUCAUGGAAUCAAGGUUUUUUUAUUAUAUCUUUUAAGGAAUUUUAUACAAUUCUAACAUAUUUGUGAGAGACAACUUAUUAGAGGAAACUCUUUAAGGUUGGGUUUUGCUUUAGUGGGUCAAAUUUUGGUUCUUAAAUAAUAAAAAAAAUAUAGGAUCUUGAAUUUUCCACAUAUUUCUUCUGUCAAUUAUAUGAUUAUGAAUAUGUUGUUUGCCAUAGAAAAUUUGUCUGCAGAAACCAGUCUAUUUCCUUCCUGUGUUAAUUUUUUUAUCUUCCAGAAAGACCUUCAAGAUAUAGUUGCUGAAGUCUUCCUUUGUCAUCUAUUUUUUAUUGUCCUCGGUCAGCAGAUAUCAUCUUCAUCCUUGAUAAUAUCUGAAGUCUUUCCAGCUUAUUAA
rnacentral:lncRNA from 1 species